GGAGAGAUCGCCUAAUUGGUAUGGCACCGCGUUGGAAGCGCGGCGGGCCGAAAGGCCUGUGCGGGUUCGAGUCCCGCUCUCUCCG
rnacentral:tRNA from 2 species